GUGCCCACUUCCAUACCACAUAUACUAAAAUUGGAACAAUAAAGAGAUGAGCACAGUCCUUGCACAAGGGUGACACACAAAUUUGUGAAAUGUUCCAUAGAAAG
ensembl:snRNA U6 U6 spliceosomal RNA